UCAACCCGCCUACCUAUUGUCAGCCCUACUCUUUAUCACAAACACUCUGUCGACGCUCACUCUCUCUUGCAAGUCCUCAAUCGUCACUCCUCCCUCCCUGAUUCAGCAUCCGUCUCUCCCUCUCUGAAGCCAUCGCACCGCCAUGGUUUAGCAUAUUUCUUUACAAUGUUAUUUAAUUAUGUUCUCUUAUUUCUUUACUUGGUAGGUUGAUGUAUGUGGAUAUAGUCGCUUGACUAUGAUUAUGGAAAGCAUGGACGUCACAAGAUUCAGGGUAUUAGGGCAGGUUUUGUGCCUAGAUAUUUGAACCCAGAUAUACUUGAUGAAGUUAUAGAGGUCUGUUGUUUUGCUUUUCCAUCUUCUUUCUCCUCUCUUCCUUCCUUUUUUUUGUAUAAAAAAUAUAAUAAAAAUAAAAAAUUUUUGAACAAGAAUUUGAUUG